AGGGACUGACACAGAGGCCGGAGGAGAGCCGGGUACUGGUGCUGGCUGUGCUGCCCUCCGGGGAGGCCCUUGGACAAGCUGCUUUCUCCCUUGGGCCUGAGUUUCUCCACCUGCAUAUCGAUGGGCUUUUUAUUGAGCACUUGCUGUGUGCUGGGCACUGGGGCUGUAUGUGAACAGGACAGGCAGUCCUGGCCCCAGGAGCUGACAUUCUGGGGGGAGAAACAGUCGGAUAGCCAUAGGCACUGGGGAUUCUGUAGUGAACAAAGUCCUUGCCUUUUCGGAGCUUUCAUUCUAGUCAGGGAGACAGACAGACAGACAAAUAUAAAGACAGCUGUUGCAGAGGUGGAAACGACCAUGAGGAAGCAUGGCCAGACGGACCUAGUGGGGAAAGAGAUAAGAAGGGGUCAGACUUGAGGUAACAUAUUAAAGGUAGAUAUCACAGGAUCAGCUGUUUUAGAGAGAGUUCUAGAGCGUAAGGAGUCGAGGGUGAUUGGAGUUUUUGAAAUAAUGGUGCCAUGACAGUUACAAAACGAAGUCCACGUGUGAGGCCAGUACUACCUAAGAGGCUCAGACUGGUCAAACAGCAUUUCAUUGGGGCCUGAGCACAUCUGGGAGUCAGGGAGUCAGCCUCCCUCGGGGUGACCUAGAGGCCUGAAGACUAUACAGGUUAACUAAGGGGGAGCAGGGGCGAGUGGUCCUGAUGGAGCAGCAAAUGCCCAGAUUGAACAGUUUUCUUCGAGCUGAAGGAAAGUUGGUGUGUCUGGAGUUGAGAAAUGGGGAGAGGGGACUGAACUUGAUCCUGAGUGCAGCCAGAGAGGCUGUUAGGGAAUGACAUGCCCCUUAGGGCCCCCAAAGCACGCUCUGGCUGCUCUGUGAAGAAAGUUCCGGAGGAGGAGCAGAGUCAAAAAGAAGACGUGGUUUGGUUAACGCUCCAGUUCCGAGGAUAGGCCAGGUCUGAGGACACUUCCUCAGGGAAGCCCUCCCUUACUGCUCCGGAUUGAGUCAAGUUCCCCCAGCCCCUGUUGAAACGUCUCCUCCACUGAGGCCAGAGACUGUCCACUGCCACAUCCCCAAGGCCUGGAUUAGUAAGCCCCUGGCACACAGUAGG